rnacentral:rRNA from 1 species
GACAGAGGGGGCAAGCGUUGCUCGGAAUCACUGGGCGUAAAGGGCGCGUAGGCGGGAUGGCAAGUCAGUCGUGAAAUCUCUCGGCUCAACCGAGAAACGUCGGCUGAUACUGCCGUUCUUGAGGGAUGCAGAGGAGACUGGAAUUCCCGGUGUAGCGGUGAAAUGCGCAGAUAUCAGGAGGAACACCGGUGGCGAAGGCGGGUCUCUGGGCCGAUACUGACGCUGAGGAGCGAAAGCGUGGGGAGCGAACAGG